rnacentral:tRNA from 1 species
AAAAAGAUCAGCUAAUUAAGCUAAUGGACUCAUACUCCAAUUAUAAAGGUCAAAUCCUUUUCUUUUUA